UUUUUUUUUACCUUUCCGACGAAGAGAGAGUGACGUUUGUUAAAGCCAGUUCGACGGUACUUACGGGCAUUCAAUUAAUCAUUGAAACGAUGAAUCCGCCAUCCGUGAAUAUCGAUGGAUUCCUUUCCGAAUAACUUAAUUAUAUCCAAAGUAAAUCGACGCGCCAAUUCGUAUUAUACAAGACAUCUCUAAAUUACUGUGUGCAAUAGUAUAAACCUGAAGCAAUUUCGAGAAUGUUGAGGAUUAAAACGCACCUGUGAAAUACACUACGCGCGCGAGCGGCGUCUCUCUUAGGACUAGACGAGUUUAUUUUCGGCAUAUGAACGAAAACUUCUUGCAUGAGAGAGAAUUUCGUAACGAGGUUUCGCAGCAGCCCUCGCAGGAAAUAUUGCAGGAAGUCUAUGGAGGCGCGACUCUCGUAAGCGCGUGGAAUUGGCCUUACGCGUUAAUUUUCGCACGUGAACGAACGAGCAAAUAAGGAACGCCGUAUCUAGAUGGAAAAAGUCGAGCCAGCCCGAGCGAACUUUAAGCGCACGAUGCUCUUAAGGGUUCGUUCACAAGAACGAUCGUUGUAGCUCCGAGUGUGGCGGCGUCUAAACGAAAUACGAUAAGCACUUAGCCGGGCCGUAUCUAUCAAGCAUAACCCUUAUGCCGCUGCUUUGAGGGUGUGGUGUACCCUGGGGAGAGAGCCCAGGCGCAGGACAACCUCCUGGAAUUUAUACUACGGACUUCGCCCUCAUCCUACUGCGGCUUUAUCACUUAUUCAUAUAGCGUUGCGCGAGGAAAAGUUGCCCUAAGUGCCUAUAAACGUUUAGUCACCGAAUGUUUCUGCGUUUCCCGCAUCCGCGCGAUUCGAUAUCAUUCGAUUCCUGUCACCGUGGCACCGGUUGAUACACUGUAGAACAUGAUAGCAAACGAUAGUUCGAAGUAAUAACACAAAAGAAAAUUCCAUCCUCAAGAUUAUUAAAGUUACUAUUUCUAGAAAAAGAUGCUUCCCUAUAGGAAAUUUUAUCAGCGAAAGUAUUGACAAUUUUAUAUAUAAAUUAUGGUAUGGCUGUAAAUGUAUUCGGUGUGACGGAAGAUGCGUUGGAUACACAGUAAUCGAUACAUUCUAGCUUGAUUAUCGUGUAAUGGAACGUAAAUGCUAACACAUCUCUGGCUCAGUUCAUCUCGCAGUUAAGUCAGUCGCUACAGCACAGACGGCGAUACAGACGUCGCAUAGGUUGAAAUGAUAUACGAUUCCGAGACGACGAAAUCCCCGUUUGAUUCUCCUUCGGGAUAUAUUCCUCGGGAAUCCUUGUUCUUCGUAUCACGCGCCAUCGCGAAUCCUUUCUGCCCAGACUCGGAAUUACUUUCGCGCGUUUUACGGACAGGCAUUUCUAAAUUGCGCAAAUGUAAUUGAAAAUCCACAUAUUGAUCAUUGCAAUGGAAAUAAUCUCACAUAUUAAAAAAUCAGAUAAUUAAGGAUAAGAAUAUGAUAAUUAAAAUGAAUUAAAAAGACAGGAUCAUCCAUUCGAGAAUGCAAGACGAUGGGAAAGGAGGAGAAACCACCAAAGAGUGGUUACCGAAGAACGGGGUGGAAUUAAGCAUCUCGCCUGAAGAGACUUCAAGUCAAUUCAGCAUCGUUCUCUUCCCUCCUUUGGCAUGGCAAGGAUUAAAAUCUGCCUGAUAUAGCGGCUCCUAUCCACCCUCGCUCUUCCGAUAUUAAACGGAUGUUACGAUGUCGAUCGUCUCGUAUGAGUUUCCUGCCUUUUAUCAGAAAAUCGUUUGAUUACGCAGACUUUCAUACGAGCAAUACACACAUGUACAUGUAAUUAUAUUAUGCAUUAACAUAUCGCUAAAUUGGCAUGCCAAUGCAAUUAAUAGAACAAUAGAACAAUUGUUCUUAUUUUGUUAGUAAUUACAAAAAAGAAUUGUUUUUGCUUCCAGUUCUAUAUCAUCUUUCUUUGAAUUUAUAUACAGAGAAUUGAGUCGAAAUAGUAACAGGAUUGUAAUAAAAUUAGAUAAU